UUUAGUCUCUGUAUUGUCUUUGUCUUGUAUCAGUUCCUCAUCUUGUCUUGCUUCUUUGUCUUCCCUUCCUGGUUUUCCCUGCGUCGUUCCUUCCUGGUUGUUUUUUUUUCCCCCUGUCAUGUCUUCUGGUUAUCUUCGUUUGUGCCUGCCUACCUCUGGACACCUUUUGUUCCAUGGCAAAGCUCCAGAUGGGACCGUAGAGGAGGUUGAUAAAGUGGUGAAGUUCAAAGCUCCCACUGAAUAAGAGGAGGAAGCAGCAAAGAACAAACGAGCGGCCCAUUCUUACUGGCUCACUGGUCCAGGCAGUGUGCCAGACAAUGGCCAACCAGGACUUUUCAUCGGGUCAGUUUGCUCUGGGAACUCCAGCCUCCAGAUCCUGCUAACGCUAAUGGACUUCAGAGAUGUGAGCUGCCAGGAGGGGGUGUUGCAGUUAGAGCCUGAGGCUGAAUCAUAUUUGGACCUAAGGUGCGAUUGUGGUGCCAGCCAGCAGUCCACCUUAGUGACCCCACCCAAGUGGGUGACAUCUCAUCCAACAUCCAACUGUCACCCACUGACCUUAAAGGUUCCUUCUGAUGUUUCUUCGUCGUCCCUGUAAGUGGACCAGGCCGAAUCAGCACUCCUCCCCUUCAUACAUCAAUGUAAUUUGGCACUGGAUUGGACUGGACGUCAUUAUUUUUACUCUCAUGACAUGGGGAUGAGUUGGCCAGUAUUCCCUUGUCUUGCUCUCUGGGAAAG